UUAUUCUAUCCCAAAACGAUAGUUUUGAGUGGGCUAAUGCGAGCGUUUUUAACCUCGUUUCCCAGGUGGUGACUGUCCUGCCAUGACCCAGGCUCCAGAGGCUUCUUUCCGUAGCUGUUAUACUACCGGCCAUUCCUCUCCAUGGUCUCCCAGCUCCUGGACACGAGGACACAGCCUCACAGACAGUGGAGCUGGGAGGUACCGCAGCAAACCCCUCACUUGUCAGCGGGGGAGACUGAGGCACAGAGCGGAGCAUCCUGGGUUGGAGCCCAGGGCUGAGAUGAGCCAGCUGUCAUCGGGACAUUCGACUUCCUAACCACCUGCCCAGGGGCUGCUGUCCUCCACAAGUGACCAGCAGCACGGGCAUCCCAGACCGGCUGUGUCAGGCCCUGCGUGUGGACGAGCCCCUCAGGCAGCUGUGUGCAGAGGUGCGUUCGGGCACAGCUGCUCAGAGCCCUGGCGACGGUGACCAUGGUGGUGACAGCGAGUGGGUGAGUGGGCAGCGACCCGAGCUGACUGGUGUAUUUCCUGCUGCUGUGCUCUUCCUCGAAACAGCACACCAGCAGAGCCUGCAGGGGGCCAUUUGGGAUGGGGCUGCCAUUUAGGACAGGCUCAUCCUUAGAGACACAAUGUUUCAAUGUCCCUCAGACCCAAGCAGAGCUCCACAGCAGCUUUGGGAAAGCCGCAUGCUCCCAUUAUCGUGAUGAGUGCCGCGCUUAGUGAGACACCUGUCACUCAUUAGAAAACACGAUCUUUCACCGAUACUCCAGGACAACAGAGAAUCCAAGAAGGACGACACUGACCCUCACAGCACCGCCUGCCGUGGCACCUGUCUUAGACGUGAGACCUUUAACUAGACUGCAGGGCUCCACAGCCUCUAAGCAAUGGAUUCGCGCAUUCUCUGUGGCCUGGUUUUUCUCUCAUGCAUCUCUGACCGUCCCCCUGUUCCCCAGACUGGCACCAGGUGGGUGAGUGGCCUGUGUCCAGAAUCCGCCUUGGCUGAGACGGACUGGUGCUGGGAUGAGCACUUCUGGGCCGGAGGCCUGAAUACGUACCUUCCUCCUCCCAGCCUGCAGACCUGGGCACUCGGGUGACACAUGGUGAGCAGAGUAGAGGUCAGUGAUUCCUCUGACCACCAAGUUUAGGUCAAGCAGCGUGGGAACGGCUGUGACACUUAACUCUGGAAAUGCUUUACCUCCCCUGGCUCAGAGCAUCCUUGUCUUGGAAACACUCAGUUUUGACCUAGUCAGCCUGGGGUGGUGACGUUAUAGCUUCAGGUACAAAGCGGGCAGGUCGCCGGUCAAUUCUUGAUGUGCCGAGGGGACCCCCAUGCCUCACGGGCCGGAGGAUACGGUCCUCCGUGUCUUGGCUUUGCUAAUGACUCUUGGAUUCCAGUUCCUUAUCAUCUCUUCUAGCCUCGAAAGAACAGGGGCCAAGUGUAAGGACGGAUCGAGACCAAACGCAACCUACAUCAGUAGCAAAGAAAAAAGAGGCUAUUAAGAAAUCAACUUUGUUCUGGUUAAAGAAAAUGUUUUUGUUUUGCCCAGUGGACCCUCACUGAGGGCCACUAGUGACCUUGGGUCUUCAGAAAUCAGCCUGUGCACAAGCUAAGCAUUGUCACCCAGGCGACAGUACUCUAACAUGAAGGGGAAAGCCACCCUGAAUCUCGCAUCCUGACAACCAAAAUGUCCCUUUCCAGCUCACCCACACGUAGCCCCGACUGUGCACCCUCUAGUCACACUCAGCCCUUUUUCUGGUGUCUCUAAGUCCCCACAUCCGUAUUCAAUGGUGGCCGACUGCUCUGUGAGUUUACAGCCACCUCAUAGCUCCUUGACUUUGGGACACUUAGGGUAUUGCCCGCAUUUUAAAAAGUGUUUUUGGAUAUGUGGUGUUUCUCCUCUGGUUGGAUUGUUUUCUCAGGCUGUCUUCGUAAUUGUGGGGUCAGUGGUCCUUGAUACACGUGUCCAUGUGUUUGGUGUUAUGUGCUGAUAGUCCUCGCGGAGGUAUGAAACCUGUUCAGGCCAACAGACACACCUACGAACCAAGUCACUGUGAGCCUCUUCCAUGGGGACUGUUGCCACAAGGCUGCCGCACAUUGGGGCCACUCAGAAGCUUUGGGAUGUGGUUUCCUCUCUCAUUCCGAGCUGAGAGCAGACAGUGGAAGGAUCAAUAGUUCAGAUUUAUCAGCAUGAGGCACCACGCACGGCCUGGAGGCAUUUCUCAGCACCACCUGACAGGGACCACCGGUCUCACCUUAGCCCUUCCCAUCACUUGGACCACUUUGGCUCAAGCUAAUGUUUCUUUCUUUCUUUUUUUUUGUAGAGGGCAGUGUCACUGGCCCUCACAUGUGGGAUCCGAACCGGGGCCUCUGGCGUUCCCAAGCCAGCUCCCAACCAUCGUGCCACUCGGCCAGCCCUCAAGCUAAUGUUUCUUAAAGCACAUAGAUGUGCCAUCACUUGGCACAUCUUGAACUGAAUUAUUUCCCACUAUUUACCAAUUACUAAUCCCGAAAGGUAACAUUAGAUGUCUUCCUUCCUGAUUCUCUGUGCAUUUGAGCAAAUAUUAUCUAUCCGCUAGUUACUCCCCAGGCUUUGGAAGAGGGUUCCAUUUCUAAACUGGGGGUAAGAAAUACUCCCCCUAAAGAUCCUGAGGAGAAGAAAUCUUAGUCCACCGUCCUCCCCAGGCCCAGGAUCCUUGGCCGCAGGUGGAAUGAGCAUGUCAUGGACAUCAACAGCUGGGCUGUAUGCCUGCAGAGGCCGAGAGCACUCACUAAGUUCCAUUCACUGAGCACCACGCUGGAAACUGAUGGAAGCAGGAAUGCGUGGUCUGUUCUGCCGGGCGAGGUGAAGUUCAUCCUGGGGGACGAAGAGGCAGCUACAGCAAGUAGCAAGGCCUGUACAAGUCACUAACAUCAAUGUUGAUGUUCAAUCACUUGACCGCUGUGUACUGAGCACCUACUAUGUGCCAGGUGUUGUGCUAGACACGAGGAGACAGCAGUGAACAAAAUUAAGGAGGUCCCGAUCCUCUUAGAACUUGUGGCCUAGGCCCACCGCCGUAAGUCAUCCAGGGAGCAUGCUGGCUUUGGGAGGGGCCUUCCUCCUGGGGACCCCCGGGCCAUCAGCCAUUUGUGUACUGCCCAUGAGCUAAGACUGGUUUUCACAUUUAUAAAUGGCUGAAAAAAAUCAAAAGAAGAAGACUAUCUUGUGACAUGUGAAAA